GUGAAUUACUAGCUUGAAGUCAGCUCCUACCAGGCUAAUAAGAUCCUUUUUGAUGUCUGGCUUGUCUCCAAGCCUUCCAGCUUACAGCAGUGAGAGCUGUCGCCUCGCCAUCCUGUCCAGGGACCGGAAGAGCUGCUGUUGUUUGGAGCCAUUCUCUCCCUAAAGGUGGAACUCCCCACGAGCGGGGAAUGCGGAUGGAUACGAAGGGUGCCUGUGUUCCAGAUGCCAGUCAUUUAACAAACACUGUGAAACACCGCGUGGUAAGACUAUUACAAAGACAUCUCCUUUGUCCCUUGGAAUCUCACCAUCUACAGCAGCUGUUCUCAACCUGACAUUUCAACAGCUCCCAACCAUCCUCGGCGCCGCACUCCCCUUUACCGACUAUACCACCAUCUCCAAGGCCUCAUCUACUCUGGGGUGUCCCAGAGCCCCAAACCAAGCCCACAUUUUUUUAUGUAUACAUUUAAAAUUAGCAAUAAAGUCAAUCAUUUCUGA